rnacentral:rRNA from 1 species
AUGAGGGCGGCACCGUGUUCGACGCCGGGCUUAAGUACCUUGAGGCCGUCAACGACAACGUGCUCGUGUAUCCUAGGUUCAUCACGGAUCCUUUCACGACACGAUUCUCCGGCGGGUAGCUGCACACAACCACAGGAGGAGGUGGUGUUGUGGAAGAAUACGGCCUGGGCAAAGCCAUACUCUUGCAUCUCUUUCAACUGGUAUGACAUGGACAUUUGUAUGAUGGUAGACAGGCACCUUAACGGAAGUGACUUAUUGAGCCUCGCUGCCACCUGCCGUUGGUUUCUCCGGCUCCUCAUGAGGAGCCAUUUAUUUUCUUGUGAUAAUAUAGUUGAUCUACAAGCAGCAAGCAAAAUUGUUGUUAAAAAACUUAUCUAA